rnacentral:rRNA from 1 species
AUACGGAGGAUGCAAGCGUUAUCCGGAUUUAUUGGGUUUAAAGGGUGCGUAGGCGGUUUGCUAAGCGGGAGGUGAAAUGCCGGCGCUCAACGUCGGAAGUGCCUCCCGAACUGGUGGACUUGAAUGACUCUGCCGUGGGAGGAAUGUGUAGUGUAGCGGUGAAAUGCUUAGAGAUUACACAGAACACCGAUUGCGAAGGCAUCUCACGAAGGGUUGAUUGACGCUGAGGCACGAAAGCGUGGGGAUCAAACAGGAUUAGAUACCCUGGUAGUCCACGCCGUAAACGAUGGGCGCUCGUCGUCGGCGACAGACAGUCGGCGGCCAAGCGAAAGCGAUAAGCGCCCCACCUGGGGAGUACGGUCGCAAGGCUGAAACUCAAAUGAAUUGACGGGG